ACCACCUCAUUGUCCUCAAGUAAGCCAAGCACAGCCCCAGGGCCUUUGCACCUGCAGUUCUCUCUGUCUGGAAUGACUUCUUCCACCCUUCACCAUCCUCAGGAUCAAGACAGCACACACAGCCUGGGCACGGGGGCUCAUGCCUGCAAUUCCAGCACUUUGGGAGGCCAAAGCGGAUGGAUCACUUGAGGUCAGGAGUUCGAGACCAGCCUGGCCAACAAGUUGCCAACAUACCUCAUUAUUCCUGGACAUGGGACAAGAACUCACCACAUGGUGUGACUGAAAGAGCUGUAACACAAACAGGGCUGAAACAUGCCCCCCAACCCCCCACUCACCGUGUUGUGGGCAACAAGAAGGAGAGAAGAGCUGUGGCCCUUCAGGAAGCCCAGACAUAGGGGCUCCCUGAGCCAGGGCUGUGACACCUUCUUUGGAGCUCUGUGGUUCCUGGCAUUGCCAAGCUUCCAGGCACCACCAUGCUCCCCUCAUCCAGACAUAGGUAACCACAGAGGAAGCCGCCUGCAGUACAUCUUAUCCAGCUGCAGCCUUGCACGGAGUUGGUGCCUGUGCCAGUGCCUGGAGCUGCCUGUCCCUUAGCAGCAGCCAGUUCACCUGGCUGUGCACAGUGGCUGGACCCCACACUCACUCCACUUUGCUACUGGCUCACCCUUGUCAGGUGUGAGAUCCGGGCCAGUAGCACGAGCUGAGUGCAGCCUGCCAGGCCAAGUGGGCAGAAUGAGCCAAGUGGGCCUGAGCAAAAACUCGGGCAAAGGCACCACCAGCCACAGAGGUUUCCAACUGCAAAAGCAACACCCUAAGGAUCCUGAGGCAGCUUGAGAGACAAUGGAGAGUAAGACAGCAGUAGACAGAGGCAGGGCUGUGGAGCGACGCAGGCCUCCAAAGAAGAGAGAAGUUUCCAUUCCUGAAGCCUUCUGGAAUCUGAAGUUUGCUGCCCGGACUGCCCGGUUUUAGUGGAAGAAAGCUUGCAUGGGUCUCUGUUUGUUGCUACCAAAGACUCUUGGCUAGAGCAACGUGGAUGAAGGAAGGUUGAACCAAAGACAUGGCAGUGGUUCCGAGGGGCUGGGCAGCCUUUGUGGCCUCCCACCACCACCUCAAUUAAGCCAAACGGUGGAUGAAGAGAAGCUUCUGGGCUGUCAAGUGCCUGCUUCUUAAAAUCACUUUGGAGAGCCCAGGGAGUGCAGGAGGCAAAGCAGCGCCCCCUGCGUGAGUCAUCCCCAUUUGAGCAGCCUUCCCACCCUGACCUGAGACACAAGGCCACACUUAGCAUCGAGGGAGACCAAGUGAUGUACCCAGCUUCAAGCCAGGCUUUGUUACAGAGAAGAAAGGAAGGGUAGAUGUUGGCAUAGCAACCAGCAUUGUCUGCCACUCUCUCUGCGGCGUGUCUCCCCAUGAGAUGCCCCCUGGGAACAGGGUGCCUGAGUGCGAGUCUUAGGCCUGGAUGAUAAAACUGGACUUCUAAUUCCCUCUUUCACGUAAAUCAGAGCCAGUCAUAUCAUUUCUGCCCACAACCCAACAGCCGUAGUGAGCCACAGGGCCCUACCUGACUGCAGAUGGCUGGAUGCAUGGGGAGCAGAAGGAAGGUAAUGAACACCACCUCCACCAGCCUUUAACAGGAGUGACGUGGCUCUACGUGCGCUUACAGAAAAGGCCUUCAAGACCUGCCGUUAGCUGGAAAAAUAAGAAGAGCAAGCUACAAAACUCACAUAGAAUAUGAUCCCACUUGGGUAAGAAAUGGUUCAAUUAACCCUUAAUAGGCCAGGCAUAGUGGCUUGUGCAUGUAAUUCCAGCACUUUGGGAGGCCAAGGCAGUGGGUUGCUUGAGCUGACGAGUUUGAGACCAGCCUGAGCAACAUGGUGAAAACUCAUGUCUACAAAAAAUACAAAAACAAGCCAGGGGUGGUGGCACAUGCCUGUGGUCCAGCUACUCAGGAAGCUGAAGUGGGAGGAUCACUUGAGCCCAGGAGGUGGAGGUUGCAGUGAGCCAAGAAUGUGUCACUGUACUCCAGCCUGGGUGACAGAGCCAGACUCUGUCAAGAAAGAAAAGAAGGAAGGAAGGAAGGAAGGAAGGAAGGAAGGAAGGAAGGAAGGAAGGAAGGAGAAAGAGAAAGAGAG